UCCUGCGUAGCUCAAUUGGCAGAGCAGCCGGCUGUUAACCGGCAGGUUAUUGGUUCGAGUCCAAUCGCAGGAG
rnacentral:tRNA from 1 species